UACGUAGGGUGCAAGCGUUAAUCGGAAUUACUGGGCGUAAAGCGUGCGCAGGCGGUUUUGUAAGUCUGUCGUGAAAUCCCCGGGCUUAACCUGGGAAUGGCGAUGGAGACUGCAAGGCUGGAAUCUGGCAGAGGGGGGUAGAAUUCCACGUGUAGCAGUGAAAUGCGUAGAGAUGUGGAGGAACACCGAUGGCGAAGGCAGCCCCCUGGGCUAAGAUUGACGCUCAUGCACGAAAGCGUGGGGAGCAAACAGG
rnacentral:rRNA from 1 species